CUCCUCUCUAAUUGUCCCCUGCUGCUUGUCUGCUCUGUCCAUGAUCAAGGCCUCAGCAGGUGAUAAGAAAGGCAUGAGAACAGGCUGGAAGGAGAAUGAACUACUGAGGGGCCCAAGCUGAAAGAAAUAAAGACUUCCAGUACAUCACCCUGACAGUAAAGAACCAAGAAAAAGUGAAGUCUGAGUACUCCCUUUUGGCUUCGGCAGAGUCGUUUCUUAAUGUUUGCAAACACUGUCGCUCAGAUGCAAGAAGUGCCAUUGCCCCAUUUUACAGAUGAGGAGACAGUGGCUGGCUGAGAAAGAAGUAACCGAAGUCUAUGUGCCCAAGUGACUACAGCAGUAAGACUGGACAGAGAGUCCCUUUCCUGGCAGAAGCUGGUCUUUCUGCGAGUCCAUGGAAAGUUCUUGAGCGGAGAGCUCUCCAUGCCUGCUGCUGCUAACAGUGACUUUGGAGUUGCACCUUUUCUCUUAUGUUUAAGAGUUCCAGUUCAUGGUGAUAUUUAAGAAAGAACUCAGCCAAAACACAGAAGAAUUGAAGGCCAGUCAUCAGAGGGGAAGAAUAUAGCCUGACAAGUCUACAGAGUAAAUAAGAUUGUAGAGGUGUGUCACUUCAUUUCAAUUAAAUAUCUAUGCAUUCUCACCCACUUGUGUUCUGCAGCUUUGCUGACACCAUGGAGAAGAGUCUGGCUCUGUCCUUUGCUCCUCUCAUCCAUUUAUAAAAACAGCCUUGACCACGUCGCUCCAACUGUUCUCAUAACUCCCAUUGCUGAUGUUCUAACAUGAUGCAGUCAUAAACUGGAUCUUUCUUUUCUUUUUAUGUACUUUUUAAUUAUCUAAAGGCUAAACUUUUGACUGCCACUUCUCAUUUGCACGCUGGAUUUGGGGUUAGAAAACAAGUUUGCUUAUUUAAUAUUUGCUUUGAUUUGGUGAUUAGUCUUUGCUCUUAAUUAUUUUUACCAUUUCCACAUGAGUGAUCAGGAAAUUAACAGCUGUCUCACACUUUCAGCAAGUUAAAAACAGCCUAUCGUAUUUCCUUAUUGACGUUUUACUUGCCCCGUGCAGAAUGUUUUAAGAUGCUGCUUCUCUUGAGUUUCCCACCUCACAGCUUGAGUAAUGCCACAGCUUUUAAAAAUGUUUCCCUUUUGACUUGCCAAGGCCAUGAAGACAAGUAAAGUCAUCCAGCAUAAAAGGUGUAUGUGAACAAAACAUGAAUGGAAGGUGUGGGUCAAGUUACAGUCCAAACAAGAAUAUUAGAAGCAGUUUUGGAGACUGAGGAGACCGGUCCUGUGGCACACGUCUGCAGUGAGAAAUACUGCCAUCCUGGGAUUCUGUGUGGUGUUUACACACUCAUAGCAAAUCCUCUUUAAAAAGUAAAAAUAAAUGGAUUGCUGCUCCUUUUUCCACUGAUGUUUUCCUUUUAUCUUUUCAUUCCUUUUCAAAUUGGUAAUGAUUGUAAAUCACUCCUUGCCACAGAAAGUGCUUUUUCUCCAAGAGCAGUUAUUUGAUUCCUGUAAUCUUAUUUAUUAGUUAAAUUCAAUAAGUGCCCAACCUAUGCUCUAAAUGCCUUUUAAAAAUACACUAAUAAACAGCUCUUGAUUGCU